rnacentral:lncRNA from 1 species
GUCACAAAGCUAGGAAGUAGCAAUUUUCGAAUCAGAUUCUGAGUCUCCUGAUUCCUCCCUUUGGCAUUCUUCUUUCCACUAGAACACUUGGCACCUAUUGUCUCAGAGCCUGAUUGUAGGCACCCCCAACUAAUUUCUGGUAAGUAGAUAUAAUCAUCUCAUCUGUAUUUUACAAGAUGGCGCAUCAGAAUAACCAUCUGUCAUCAAGCGGCUGCAUCUUCUGCUCUCUCUAGAGAUGGAAUAAACACGCCACCAUAGCAAACCAGAAAAAUAAGCAGUGGAGUGAUCCCAAGGACAAUGGGAUCAACUUCUAUUACAACAAAUUCCUUUCCAGUAACCACAGCUGAAUAAUAAAAAUGAUCCCCAAGUCCUAACUGAUGCCCACCCUACCCUCUUGUUUCCCAGCACUAUUGAAUACAAGGAAAUUCUAGAACAACGGAAUUGAGGUUCCUGAGGUGGACAGGAAGUUGCCUACAGCUGUUUCUGUGAAUGUUUUUGGAGAAGAGGAGGUAACUGACAGAAAAGACUUCCAGCAAUCCUCAGCAAGGGAAAGAAAUUGACAGAC